rnacentral:rRNA from 1 species
GAGUGGCGCACGGGUGAGUAACACGUGGGUACCACCCUAGAGAUCGGGACAACCAGGGGAAACUCUGGCUAAUACCGGAUGUGUCCGAGUUGACCUCGGUCGGCUCGGAGAAAGGUGGCCUCUGCUUGCAAGCCAUCGCUCUUGGACGGGCCCGCGGCCCAUUAGCUAGUUGGUGAGGUAACGGCUCACCAAGGCAGUGAUGGGUAGCUGGUCUGAGAGGAUGAUCAGCCACACUGGGACUGGAACACGGCCCAGACUCCUACGGGAGGCAGCAGUGGGGAAUUUUGCGCAAUGGGGGAAACCCUGACGCAGCAACGCCGCGUGGGUGAUGAAGGCCCUUGGGUCGUAAAGCCCUGUCGGGUGGGAAGAAUCCCCCGUCGGCGAAUAGUCGGCGGGGAUGACGGUACCACUAAAGGAAGCACCGGCUAACUCUGUGCCAGCAGCCGCGGUAAUACAGAGGGUGCAAGCGUGUUCCGGAAAUCCACUGGGGCCGUAAAAGCGCGUGGUAGGCUGGCCGGAAUUGGUGGUUCGAAGUUGUGGAAAAGCCCCUUCGGGGUUUUAAACCCGGAAGGGAAAGUUGGCCACUUCGGAAAACUUGGG